GUGGGCGUAGCUCAGUUGGUAGAGCCCCGGAUUGUGGCUCCGGUUGUCGGGGGUUCAAGUCCCCUCGCUCACCCCA
rnacentral:tRNA from 1 species